AUCCUUAGAGCCCAGUGGCUAAGGUGUCUGACUGAAAGUCAGAAGUUUUGUGUUCAAACCCAAGUGCAGAUA